UACGUAGGGUGCAAGCGUUGUCCGGAAUUAUUGGGCGUAAAGAGCUCGUAGGCGGUUGGUCGCGUCGGCUGUGAAAACCCGGAGCUCAACUCCGGGCCUGCAGUCGAUACGGGCCGACUUGAGUGUUGCAGGGGAGACUGGAAUUCCUGGUGUAGCGGUGAAAUGCGCAGAUAUCAGGAGGAACACCGGUGGCGAAGGCGGGUCUCUGGGCAGCAACUGACGCUGAGGAGCGAAAGCGUGGGGAGCGAACAGG
rnacentral:rRNA from 1 species